GUUUGCACUUGUCGGGGAAGGGUGAGAACCUUCGAUUAAGGUUCGACUUGAGCGAAAGCGAGAGAACGUUGCCAACGGC
rnacentral:sRNA from 1 species